rnacentral:rRNA from 1 species
UACGGGGGGGGGCUAGCGUUGUUCGGAAUUACUGGGCGUAAAGGGCGCGUAGGCGGCCUACUAAGUCGGACGUGAAAUCCCUCGGCUCAACCGGGGAACUGCGUCCGAUACUGGUGGGCUCGAAUCCGGGAGAGGGAUGUGGAAUUCCAGGUGUAGCGGUGAAAUGCGUAGAUAUCUGGAGGAACACCAAUGGCGAAGGCAGCUUGCUGGGACGGUACUGACGCUAAGGCGCGAAAGCGUGGGGAGCGAACAGG